AGAGAGAGAGAGAGAGAGAGAGAGAGAGAGAGAGAGAGAGAGAGAGAGAGAGAGAGAUUGCAUUAGAGCUACCGAAUAAUUUUUGGUUACCUGUCGUAGCAUUACAUGAUUAUUAUGGACAUUAACCUCUGCAAAUUUCUAUAUUCUUUUAUUUGUUUAUCUAUUUAUUUAUUAGUUUGUUCAUUUAUUCAUGUAGCCAUUAUCUAAAACAGCCUACGUAACGUAAUUUUACCCAGUACCUUUAUGAACUUCUUGCUUUUAUCAUGAUGUACGUAACUGGUUAUAGUCUGAUGAGCAGAUAUCAACCAACUGCGUCUGUUUGAAGAUUAGGAAGAAAUAAGAGUUGCCUCUCAAAUAAUUGUGAGGAGUCAGGCGGAGCUAGACGCUCAGCUGCUUAGCGUGGGGUUUGAUGGAAAGUGCUUUGGAACGAGGAAGAUUUUUACGCGGAACACGGACACUUGAGGCGUUGUUUUAGAGGUCUGGAUUGUAUGGCUUUGUCAGCAUAGCAGGAGUUUCACGGUGAUGCUUAAGGACCGUAGCCGCAGUCGUCUUCACCAGUGUGUGCCUGUCUACUGGAGGAGUGGUGUAGUGUAUGGCCAUCCUGAGUCCUAUCAGUCUGUGGUGACAAGAGGGAGACGCCUGUCAUCACUCAACAAGGGAAAAAGAAGCGUUCGUGUGAACGAGGGUUAUCCAUGAUCUCCCUCAACUGGAAAUUUUGAGGUAUAUAAGUUUCAUUUAGUUAUUUCUUCUUUUUUUUUUUUUUUGGUUGUGAGUUUACACGAGUUGUGUAUUGAUUUAUUUUGAUAUCCAUUAAAGUGUUAUUUGUA